GAUGAACGCUGGCGGCGUGCCUAAUACAUGCAAGUCGAACGGAGAUUGUAGCAAUACGGUCUUAGUGGCGAACGGGUGAGUAACGCGUUGGCAACCUGCCCCGAAGUGUGGGAUAACGGUCCGAAAGGGCCACUAAUACCACAUGUGAUCCCGAGGAACAGAUACUUGGGAUGAAAGGAGCGAUUCGCUUCGGGAGGGGCCUGCGUCCCAUCAGCUAGUUGGUAAGGUAACGGCUUACCAAGGCGAUGACGGGUAGGGGACCUGAGAGGGUGGCCCCCCACAAUGGAACUGAAACACGGUCCAUACACCUACGGGUGGCAGCAGUAGGGAAUAUUGGUUAAUGUGCGAAAGCGCGAACCAGCAACGCCGCGUGUGCGAUGAAGGCCUUCGGGUCGUAAAGCACUUUUUGCAGGGAAGAGGAAGGACGGUACCUGCAGAAUAAGUCUCGGCUAACUACGUGCCAGCAGCCGCGGUAAAACGUAGGAGACGAGCGUUAUCCGGAUUUACUGGGCGUAAAGCGCGUGCAGGCGGCAUGGCAAGUUGGAUGUGAAAGCUCCCGGCUUAACUGGGAGAGGUCGUUCAAUACUGCCAGGCUUGAGAGUGGUAGAGGGAAGCGGAAUUCCGGGUGUAGUGGUGAAAUGCGUAGAUAUCCGGAGGAACACCAGUGGCGAAAGCGGCUUCCUGGCCCAUUUCUGACGCUCAGACGCGAAAGCUAGGGUAGCAAACGGGAUUAGAGACCCCGGUAGUC
rnacentral:rRNA from 1 species